rnacentral:rRNA from 1 species
ACGAUGAUGCCCAGCUUGCUGGGCGGAUUAGUGGCGAACGGGUGAGUAAUACGUGAGUAACCUGCCCUUGACUCUGGGAUAAGCCUGGGAAACUGGGUCUAAUACUGGAUACUACCUCUUGCCGCAUGGUGGGUGGUGGAAAGGGUUUUACUGGUUUUGGAUGGGCUCACGGCCUAUCAGCUUGUUGGUGGGGUAAUGGCUCACCAAGGCGACGACGGGUAGCCGGCCUGAGAGGGUGACCGGCCACACUGGGACUGAGACACGGCCCAGACUCCUACGGGAGGCAGCAGUGGGGAAUAUUGCACAAUGGGCGGAAGCCUGAUGCAGCGACGCCGCGUGAGGGAUGACGGCCUUCGGGUUGUAAACCUCUUUUCAGUAGGGAAGAAGCGAGAGGUGACGGUACCUGCAGAAGAAGGCGCCGGCUAACUACGUGCCAGCAGCCGCGGUAAUACGUAGGGCGCAAGCGUUGUCCGGAAUUAUUGGGCGUAAAGAGCUCGUAGGCGGUUUGUCGCGUUCUUGCUUGUGAAAGCCCGGGGCUCAACCCCGGGUCUGCAGUGGGUACGGGCAGACUAGAGUGCAGUAGGGGAGACUGGAAUUCCUGGUGUAGCGGUGAAAUGCGCAGAUAUCAGGAGGAACACCGAUGGCGAAGGCAGGUCUCUGGGCUGUUACUGACGCUGAGGAGCGAAAGCAUGGGGAGCGAACAGGAUUAGAUACCCUGGUAGUCCAUGCCGUAAACGUUGGGCACUAGGUGUGGGGGGACAUUUCCACGUUUUCCGCGCCGUAGCUAACGCAUUAAGUGCCCCCGCCUGGGGGAGUACGGCCGCAAGGCUAAAACUCAAAGGAAUUGACGGGGGCCCCGCCACAAGCGGCGGAGCAUGCGGAUUAAUUCGAUGCAACGGCGAAGAACCUUACCAAGGCUUGACAUUCACCGGACCGCCCCAGAAGAAUGGGGUUUCCCUUCGGGGCUUGGUGGAACAGGUGGUGCAUGGUUGUCGUCCAGCUCAGUGUCGUGAGAAUGUUGGGUUAAGUUCCCCGCCAACCGAAGGCGCAAACCCUCGUUUUCUAUGUUGCCAGCACGUGAUGGUGGGGACUCAUAGGAGACUGCCGGGGUCAACUCGGAGGAAGGUGGGGAUGACGUCAAAUCAUCAUGCCCCUUAUGUCUUGGGCUUCACGCAUGCUACAAUGGCCGGUACAAAGGGUUGCGAUACUGUGAGGUGGAGCUAAUCCCAAAAAGCCGGUCUCAGUUCGGAUUGAGGUCUGCAACUCGACCUCAUGAAGUCGGAGUCGCUAGUAAUCGCAGAUCAGCAACGCUGCGGUGAAUACGUUCCCGGGCCUUGUACACACCGCCCGUCAAGUCACGAAAGUUGGUAACACCCGAAGCCGGUGGCCUAACCCCUUGUGGGAGGGAGCCGUCGAAGGUGGGACUGGCGAUUGGGACUAAGUCGUAACAAG